GGCCUGGUUGCUCAGUGGUUAGAGCAUCAGACUGUGGACCUAAGGGUUGAGGGUUCGAUUCCCAGUCAAGGGCA
rnacentral:tRNA from 1 species